GAAAUGCGAUAAGUAAUGUGAAUUGCAGAAUUCAGUGAAUCAUCGAAUCUUUGAACGCACCUUGCGCUCCUUGGUAUUCCUUGGAGCAUGCCUGUUUGAGUAUCAUGAAAUCUUCAAAGUAAAUCUUUUGUUAACUCAAUUGGUUUCUACUUUGGUAUUGGAGGUCUUUGCAGCUUCACACCUGCUCCUCUUUGUUCAUUAGCUGGAUCUCAGUGUUAUGCUUGGUUCCACUCGGCGUGAUAAGUUAUCUAUCGCUGAGGACACUGUAAAAGGUGGCCAAGGUAAAUGCAGAUGAACCGCUUCUAAUAGUCCAUUGACUUGGACAAUACUUUUAUGAUCUGAUCUCAAAUCAGGUAGGACCACCCGCCGAACUUAAGC
rnacentral:misc_RNA from 1 species